rnacentral:rRNA from 1 species
GACGAACGCUGGCGGCGUGCUUAACACAUGCAAGUCGAACGGAAAGGCCCUGCUUUUGUGGGGUGCUCGAGUGGCGAACGGGUGAGUAACACGUGAGUAACCUGCCCUUGACUUUGGGAUAACUUCAGGAAACUGGGGCUAAUACCGGAUAUGAGCUCCUGCUGCAUGGUGGGGGUUGGAAAGUUUCGGCGGUUGGGGAUGGACUCGCGGCUUAUCAGCUUGUUGGUGGGGUAGUGGCUUACCAAGGCGUUGACGGGUAGCCGGCCUGAGAGGGUGACCGGCCACAUUGGGACUGAGAUACGGCCCAGACUCCUACGGGAGGCAGCAGUGGGGAAUAUUGCACAAUGGGCGGAAGCCUGAUGCAGCAACGCCGCGUGCGGGAUGACGGCCUUCGGGUUGUAAACCGCUUUCGCCUGUGACGAAGCGUGAGUGACGGUAAUGGGUAAAGAAGCACCGGCUAACUACGUG